AUAAAACUCUCACUUGGCAAUCUGUAUUUGCUUCGUUGUUCGUAACUAUUGUAAAUGUAUGCAUUAUACAUAACGACUAAAUAGUUUGGUAAUAAU